AGUGCAUAUGGUGGAUGCCUUGGCGAUAUCAGGCGAUGAAGGACGUGAUAGCCUGCGAAAAGCUUCGGGGAGCUGGCAAAUAAGCUUUGAUCCGGAGAUGUCCGAAUGGGGAAACCCGGCCGUAAGGUCAUUCUCUUCUGAAUAUAUAGGAAGAGUAAAGCGAACCUGGAGAACUGAAACAUCUAAGUACCCAGAGGAAAAGAAAUCAACCGAGAUUCCGUAAGUAGUGGCGAGCGAACAUGGAACAGCCUGUUACUUUUAGCAGACGCGAUAGUAGAACGGAAUGGAAAGUCCGACCGUAGUGGGUGAUAGUCCCGUAUACGAAAUCCCGUUUGUGGAACUAGGGUAACGACAAGUAGGGCGGGGCACGAGAAACCCUGUCUGAACAUGGGGGGACCAUCCUCCAAGGCUAAAUACUCGAUAUCGACCGAUAGUGAACCAGUACCGUGAGGGAAAGGCGAAAAGAACCCCGGGAGGGGAGUGAAAUAGAUCCUGAAACCGUAUGCAUACAAACAGUGGGAGCCUCGUAAGGGGUGACUGCGUACCUUUUGUAUAAUGGGUCAGCGACUUACAUUCAGUGGCAAGCUUAACCGAUAGGGGAGGCGUAGAGAAAUCGAGUCCGAAUAGGGCGUCUUAGUCGCUGGGUGUAGACCCGAAACCAAGUGAUCUAUCCAUGGCCAGGAUGAAGGUGCCGUAACAGGUACUGGAGGUCCGAACCCACAAAUGUUGAAAAAUUUGGGGAUGAGCUGUGGAUAGGGGUGAAAGGCUAAACAAACUUGGAGAUAGCUGGUUCUCUCCGAAAACUAUUUAGGUAGUGCCUCGUAUAUAACUCUCGGGGUAGAGCACUGUUAUGGCUAGGGGGUUCAUAAGAACUUACCAAACCAUUGCAAACUCCGAAUACUGAGAAGUUCAAUUACGGGAGACAGUCCAUGGGUGCUAACGUCCGUGGACAAGAGGGAAACAACCCAGACCGACAGCUAAGGUCCCAAAUGACGUGCUAAGUGGAAAACGAAGUGGGAAGGCAUAGACAGCCAGGAUGUUGGCUUAGAAGCAGCCAUCAUUUAAAGAAAGCGUAAUAGCUCACUGGUCGAGUCGUCCUGCGCGGAAGAUGUAACGGGGCUAAGCACGUAACCGAAGCUUCGGAUGCCAGUUUACUGGCAUGGUAGGAGAGCGUUCUGUAGGCCUGCGAAGGUGUACUGUGAGGUAUGCUGGAGGUAUCAGAAGUGCGAAUGCUGACAUGAGUAGCGAUAAAGGGAGUGAAAAGCUCCCUCGCCGAAAGCCCAAGGUUUCCUGCGCAACGUUCAUCGGCGCAGGGUGAGUCGGCCCCUAAGGUGAGGCAGAGAUGCGUAGCUGAUGGGAAACAGGUUAAUAUUCCUGUACCUAUAUACAAUGCGAUGUGGGGACGGAGAAGGUUAGGUCAGCCGGGUGUUGGAUGUCCCGGUUCAAGCGUGUAGGUUGGUUCUUUAGGCAAAUCCGGAGAGCUAAGACUGAGACGUGAUAACGAGUCUGCUUGCAGACGAAGUGAUUGAUACCAUGCUUCCAAGAAAAGCCACUAAGCUUCAGUUGUAUAAGACCGUACCGCAAACCGACACAGGUGGGCAGGAUGAGAAUUCUAAGGCGCUUGAGAGAACCCGGGAGAAGGAACUCGGCAAAUUAGCACCGUAACUUCGGGAGAAGGUGCGCCCCGGUAACGUGUAUAGACUUGCUCUAGAAGCGUGAUGGGGUUGCAGUGAAAAGGUGGCUGCGACUGUUUAAUAAAAACACAGCACUCUGCAAACACGAAAGUGGACGUAUAGGGUGUGACGCCUGCCCGGUGCUGGAAGAUUAAAUGAUGGGGUGCAAGCUCUUGAUUGAAGUCCCAGUAAACGGCGGCCGUAACUAUAACGGUCCUAAGGUAGCGAAAUUCCUUGUCGGGUAAGUUCCGACCCGCACGAAUGGCGUAACGAUGGCCACACUGUCUCCUCUCGGGACUCAGCGAAGUUGAAAUGUUUGUGAAGAUGCAAUCUCCCCGCGGCUAGACGGAAAGACCCCAUGAACCUUUACUGCAGCUUUACAUUGGACUUUGACAAGAUUUGUGUAGGAUAGGUGGGAGACUAUGAAGCGGUGUCGCCAGAUAUCGUGGAGUCAUCCUUGAAAUACCACCCUGAUGUUGUUGAGGUUCUAACCUAGGUCCGUAAUCCGGACUGGGGACCGUGUAUGGUAGGCAGUUUGACUGGGGCGGUCUCCUCCCAAAGAGUAACGGAGGAGUGCGAAGGUAACCUAGGUACGGUCGGAAAUCGUACUGAUAGUGCAAUGGCAAAAGGUUGCUUGACUGCGAGACGGACAGGUCGAGCAGGUGCGAAAGCAGGUCAUAGUGAUCCGGUGGUUCUGUAUGGAAGGGCCAUCGCUCAACGGAUAAAAGGUACUCUGGGGAUAACAGGCUGAUUCCUCCCAAGAGUUCAUAUCGACGGGGGAGUUUGGCACCUCGAUGUCGGCUCAUCACAUCCUGGGGCUGUAGCCGGUCCCAAGGGUAUGGCUGUUCGCCAUUUAAAGUGGUACGUGAGCUGGGUUUAAAACGUCGUGAGACAGUUUGGUCCCUAUCUGCCGUGGGCGCUGCAAGUUUGAGGGACCUGCUCCUAGUACGAGAGGACCGGAGUGGACGCACCUCUGGUGGACCAGUUAUCAUGCCAAUGGUAUAGCUGGGUAGCUAAGUGCGGAAGAGAUAAACGCUGAAAGCAUCUAAGCGUGAAACUCGCCUCGAGAUGAGACUUGCCUCUGGCUUUAAGCCAGCUAAAGAGUCGUUCAAGACCAGGACGUUGAUAGGUCAGGUGUGGAAGUGCAGUAAUGCAUUAAGCUAACUGAUACUAAUUGCUCGUGAGGCUUGAUCCUAUAACCUUAAAACUUAGACCAAAAUCUAAGCCAGGUGUAGUUCAAAGCAAUAUGAUUUGGCAAUCAUCUAGAAAUAAGAAACACAAGUUGUUUCAUACCCUGCCCAUUGAUGCUUGAAAAAGCAAAAUCCUUUACUUCUUCCAAUUUGUUAAAGCAGGCUGAUUCAUAUCAGCACCAUGCAUAACAUUACCAGUUAUGUUUGGGGACAAUAGCAGUUUGGAACCACCCCUUCCCAUCUCGAACAGGGCCGUGAAACGAACUUGCGCCAAUGAUAGUGUACUCUUCGUAUGCGAAAGUAGGUCAUCCCCAAGCUCCUAUUCUAAAAAGCCUCGGCAGCAAUGUCGGGGGCUUUUUUAUUGCCUGUAUCCGGCAGGCAGAUGAAAUUCAGGCAGAAAAAACCCGGUGCAAGCACCGGGUUGAAGUGUCUAUUAAGAUCAACUCAAAUAGACUGCCAUGAAAACUUAAGCGCUGCACUGCAGCGUGAAAUAUAAUUGACACCGCUCAAGCGGUUGUUGAUCUGCUGCUUCUCCCUCUUUUACACACAUCUUAAAAAAUACACAGGCGUAUGUCAUUGACCCGUUCGGGCUACUACAGGCCGUAGACGUCAAACAAAACCCGCCCGACCCUGCCAUUGCGCCAUCUGUUACUUUGAAUUUAAAAGGAAUUUGGUAUAAUCAAAAGAUAGAUGGCGUUACGCCCAUUUUUGU
rnacentral:rRNA from 1 species